ACCAAAUACAACUGACGGACGAACAACCACGGUGGCACCGACUAAUGGCACUAUAGAAACCUGGCAAGAAUUUGCGAAAUGCAUGAUAGCGUGCCUGGGGAAGGACAUAAAGAACGUACUGAAAUGGGCAAAAACGUGCAAAUUCAAUGUGACCUGCUGGAUAGGCAAAGUCGGACCGGCCACCACUAAAUCUAUUCUUAAAUGCAUUGUUGACAUAAUACCAUUUCCAGGCAAUGUUUUGACAACCCCUCAACCAAAUACUACUGACGAACUAACAACAACAGUGGCACCGACGACUACUCCAAUACCGACUCCGCAGGAGUUUGUGCAAUGCAUGACAACAUGCCUUAAGAAAGACCUGAAUGAUGUUGAUGAGUGGGCGAAAGAAUGCAGCUUUAAACCUACAUGUUGGGUGAGGAAAGUCAGGCCGAUGGCAAGCAAAUGUUUCUUAUAUUGCGUUAUUUCUGCAACACCGUUUCCAGGCGGAGUGGCGACAACACCUCGACUGACUACUUCUCAUCAAGUUAUAACAACGACUGCCCCGACAACCAUUCCGAUGAUUAACGUACAUGAGUUUGUGAUAUGUAUGGAAAUGUGUUUGAAGAAUAACAUUGAUAAGGCUGCUGAUUUGGCGAAAGAAUGCAAAUAUGAAGUGUCAUGUUGGAGAGAGAAGGUCGGAAAUACAGCAUGUAGAUGCCUCCUUCAAUGCAUGCUUUCUGCAAUUCCAUAGCCCGGUAAUUGAUUAUUAAUCUUUCUUUGCAUAUACAGCGGCAAUAUUCUAACCUUCCCGAUCGACGUGUCACUAUAUCUUAUAAAUCUAGACUAGCAAUUACCCAUGCUCCGCACGGAGUUAGGGCAUGGACACAUGGCGUAUUCGGUUAAGCUGCUUAAUAUUUGUGGGAAGAGGAGGGGGGGGGGGAGCGUGUCGGAUUUGCCGGGGGGAAUAACCAACAGAGAGAAACAUUUGUAUUUCAUAUUGAUUAUGAUCCGGUCAUUAUUUGCCGUUAUUUGCCGCCUCAAAAUAAGCAAUAUAAACGGGUUAUUUACAUACUAAUUAGAUACUUUUACUUGAAACAAGUUCUCUCCAAAAUUCAACCGAAAGUUUAAAACCGUGUUCCAUAAAGAGGCCUUCUGGUAUUUUCUAGUAUCAGGCGACAUUCCGAUGGGAUUUGAAUGAUCAUGGUGGGACUAUGUGGUUGUCGUUAUGUAUUGUUGUCUGUUUUAAUCGGAGUUGUAAUAAUAGCUUGGCGUAUAUAUUGGCAUUUGGUCGAGGCUCAGAAUCUAUAUCAUCUAUUAUCUAUUAUAUCUAUAUUAUUGUUAUACUAUUGCCGUAUUUACUGCUGGUUGUGAGAUGUACUAUUUUAAUUACUGCGGUGUUUUAUUAGUAAGAUGCAAUGUAAUGUUUUAUCCGGUCUCUGCAGUAAGCAGUUGGUAUUCUUUUAUUAUCUGUACAUGUACUGUAUUCUUCUGUGAAGGAGGUCAAUAAAGUAUUAUUAUUAUUAUUAUAACAUUAAAUUUUUAAACAACAUGCGGCGCGCGCGUGUCAUUUUGGCCUGGCGAUGUCUCAUUGCUAUUGCUAAGAAAAAUUCACUUCGAAUAUUGACUUGUUGCACAAAUUUGCACUUCUUACGAAAAUUCCAAUGCACAAUGAUAGUCGAUAUUCCACUUAGACCUGACCAUAUAUUCACUGGUGUCCGUUGUCGCUCUUGACUUAAAAGAUUCCGGGAUUUUCAUUAUGGGGAGACUUAGGCGAGGUCCACAAUAAUCUAUGUACAGCAAGACUGAUCCAAUAAAGAAGCAUAUAGACGAAUCCUGUUGUCCAGCUGUUUGAAGAUCAACCAAACUAGAAGGAUGUUGGUUUCACCAGUGAAACAUCCUUUUAGUUUGGUUGAUCUUUAAACAGCUGGACAACAUGAUUCGUCUAUAUGCUUCUUUAUUGGAUCAGUCUUGCUGUACAUAGAUUAUUGUAGACCUCGCCUACUACGUUUUCAUUUCGCUACUAGUAGAAAUCAGGAAAGUUUAUUCAAAGGUCAUCGCCAAAAAAAAAGGGUUGCGAAAUAAUCUCGGGUUGGUAGUGGUAUUUUCUUAGAAUUUCGUCUAUGUUUUAUCCUUUGUAGUCGAAUCAAAACGAUAACAUGAUCUUGUUGUUCCUAUUAUGUGAAGACACUUACAUCGCACACGUUCAUUGUUAAAGUAUUGCAGUACAGAUGUACAUUAAUAUCUUUAAACGUAAGGCGCAAAAUGCCUUCAACAGCUUUUUUGGCAAAGCAAUAUCAACUUACUAAUAAGUUUCUGUCGCAAAAAAUGUUAGGUGACUGAAAACCAAUGUCAACUUACUAAUAAGUUUCUGUCGCAAAAAAUGUUAAGUGACUGAAAACCAAUGUCAACUUACUAAUAAGUUUCUGUCGCAAAAAAUGUUAAGUGACUGAAAACCAAUGUCAACUUACUAAUAAGUUUCUGUCGCAAAAAAUGUUAAGUGACUGAAAACCAAUGUCAACUUACUAAUAAGUUUCUGUCGCAAAAAAUGUUAAGUGACUGAAAACCAAUGUCAACUUAGCGACUUCUCUAUGAUGCUAUGUUACAAUGCAGUGUUUCAUUGGAUAUUUUAUGGUAUUAUAGGAAUUUAUUCUGUUUUAUGCUUCUCAAUAAAUCGAUUAAAAGAGGCCGA